AAACUGCGAAUGGCUCAUUACAACAGUCAUAAUUUACAUGAUAAUUGAAAGUUACAUGGAUAACCGUGUCAAACUACUGCUAAUACAUGCUCCAAUGCUCGGAUUCACGUUCGGGCUGUAUUUAUUAGAUAUUAAACCGACCCUUCGGGUUGUGAUGAACCAUAAUAACUGAUCGAAUCGAGGCUUCCUCGAUAAAUCAUUCAAGUUUCUGCCCUAUCAGCUUUAGAUGGUAGUGUAUUGGACUACCAUGGCUAUCACGGGUAACGGAGAAUUAGGGUUCGAUUCCGGAGAGGGAGCCUGAGAAAUGGCUACCACAUCUAAGGAUAGCAGCAGGCGCGAAAAUUGCCCAAUCCUGACUCAGGGAGGCAGUGACAAGAAAUAACAACCCGGGUUUAUUCCAGGGAUUGUAAUGGGAAAAAUUUAAAUCACUUAUCGAGUAACAACUGGAGGGCAAGCCCGAAUGCCAGCAGCUGCGGUAAUUUUUGCUCCAGUAGCGUAUAUUAAAGUUGCUGCAGUUAAAAAGCUCGUAGUUGAAAUUCUGCCUGUAGGAGCACUGUCUUCACGGAUAGUGUCUCCUUGGGCAUCGGUCUGCGACCAUUUGCUCGGCCUUGAUUGGCGCGGCUAUGUGAGUAGACGUUUUACCUUGAGUAAAUCAGAGUGUUUCAAGCAGGCUUGCGCCUGAAUGCAUUAGCAUGGAAUAAUAGAAUAGGACUGAUGUCUAUUUGUUGGUUUGAGGCGUCAGUAAUGAUUAACAGGAACAGUCGGGGGCAUUAGUACUUAAUAGUCAGAGGUGAAAUUCAAGGAUUUAUUAAAGACUAUCCAAUGCGAAAGCAUUUGCCAAGCAUGUUUCCAUUAAUCAAGAACGAAAGUUAGGGGAUCAAAGACGAUUAGAUACCGUCGUAGUCCUAACUAUAAACUAUACCGACUCGGAAUCGGACGAAACUAUAUAUAGUUCGUUCGGCGCCGUAAGAGAAAUCAAAGUCUUUGGGUUCUUGGUGGAGUACGAUCGCAAGAUUGAAACUUAAAGGAAUUGACGGUUUUGCACCACCAUGGAGUGGAGCUUGUGGCUUAAUUUGACUCAACACUGGAAAACUUAUCA
rnacentral:rRNA from 1 species